GAAGGGGGCAAGCGUUGUUCGGAAUUACUGGGCGUAAAGGGAGCGUAGGCGGAUUGUUAAGUCAGUUGUGAAAGUUUGCGGCUCAACCGUAAANAUGCAGUUGAUACUGGCAGUCUUGAGUGCAGUAGAGGUGGGCGGAAUUCGUGGUGCAGCGGUGAAAUGCUUAGAUAUCACGAAGAACUCCGAUUGCGAAGGCAGCUCACUGGAA
rnacentral:rRNA from 1 species